GUGUACUUUGUUUGUGUUUGUGCUGUGCUGUUUAUGUAGCUACUGUUCGUUUGUACGACAUCCAGACCGGUGAAUGUACAGAUGUCCUGGAGGGCCAUGGAAAAGAAGUAGGAAAGGUGGUGUUCAACCCUCAAGGAACACGAGUACUCUCAGCUUCCAUUGAUAAAACUGCGCGUGUGUGGGAUCUAUCAGAUGGUUCAUGCUCACAGGUACUGGAAGGGCACACCGAUGAAGUGUUCUCAGUGGCGUUCAGCUAUGAUGGCGACCGGAUUCUGACAUCCAGCAAGGACAAUACGUGCCGUGUGUGGAGAUGACGACCAGCAGAUAACAUACCGUUACGUGCGGAACUACAGGCGGAUGCCAUGAUUAGGAUCAUUGUCAACUGACGGCUGUGUACAGAUUCAGUUGGCAAUUUUCAGUUUGUUAACGAGCAAUGAAUAUGUGUGUCCUGGAAGAACAACUGCUCACCCAGCGUUUCUCUCUUCCAGUUCCGCCGAUGUUUGUUAUGCAAAUGUUCCACACCCCGCCGUCUAGAGGAUUGUCUAGAGGAUUGUUUUGAAGGAGACUGUGUCUAGCGACCACGCAGCAAGGUUGUUUUAGCCCAAUGGAAACAAACUCAUUAUCCAAGGAGGCCACUUCAAUGAUCCCCAUGUAUAUAAAAUAAUUGUCCGGUGGUGAAGAAGUAAGUAGUGAUGUACUUGAUGUACAUAUUCUUGUUUGCAGCUUAUUUAGAAACCGCAGUACAUGUGUGAUAAAAACAUAGAAUUUUAUAAGCAAGCAGUGCUGUAAGUAGUAUGUGUGACGACGUGUGCUAUAAGCAAGCAGUGAAUAUGUAUAUUGACACUACUAUAAUGCAGUAGCAUGUAGUAUGAGUGUGCAAACCGUGUACAGUAUAUUCAUAGUGUUUUGAAAACAUCCUGGAAAUUCUCAUAAUGAUCUCAAUAUGCACAGUUCAUUGCUCAACAAUUAUUUUUCAAAAUACAACCACACAGUGCCAAGUUCUCA